AGGGCUAUAGCUCAGUUAGGUAGAGCACCUCGUUUACACAAGGUCUACGGUUCGAGUCCGUAUAGCCCUA
rnacentral:tRNA from 2 species